UGGGGAAUUUUCCGCAAUGGGCGCAAGCCUGACGGAGCAACGCCGCGUGAGGGAGGACGGCCUGUGGGUUGUAAACCUCUUUUCUCAAGGAAGAAGAUUCUGACGGUACUUGAGGAAUCAGCAUCGGCUAACUCCGUGCCAGCAGCCGCGGUAAGACGGAGGAUGCAAGCGUUAUCCGGAAUUAUUGGGCGUAAAGCGUCCGUAGGUGGUUUUGCAAGUCUGCUGUCAAAGACCAGAGCUCAACUCUGGGCAGGCGGUGGAAACUGGGGAGCUAGAGUACGGUAGGGGUAGAGGGAAUUUCCAGUGUAGCGGUGAAAUGCGUAGAGAUUGGAAAGAACACCAGUGGCGAAGGCGCUCUACUGGACCUGUACUGACACUAAGGGACGAAAGCUAGGGGAGCGAAAGGGAUUAGAUACCCGCGUAGUCC
rnacentral:rRNA from 1 species